UCCCCAGAGGGUGCAGCUGUCCCUCACGGGAUGAGCCCUGGUCGGGUUUCCUUUUCUUCUCCUGAACAAGCCGGUUCUGCUGGUUCAAGGCCUCCGUGUUAGGGCGGGUGAAGCCGGCAGGUAGGGCUUUGUCCAGCGAAGUCAGCAGAGGCCGGAAGAAUUACGUGAGACUAUAGGAAAGGCAAGAGGUGAGAGGGAGGCUGGGGAAGUUUCCCCGAGCCGCUGUCAAGCUCUCAUAUUUACUGAGCGGACGUUUGAAAAAAACAAUGCACAGCACAUCAGAAGGCUGUGUGCCAAACAGGAUGCUGCAGGGAGCCUGCAGGCAGCCACGCAGAGCCAUUCUGAUGACUUCAAAGGAAAGCAAACCCUCCGCACCCAGUAAUAGACAAGCGAACGACGUCAUGCUGCAAAGGGAACAGUGUUCUGCUUCCAGGGCGGCCCUUCUGCUUUCUGGUCCCGGACUUGGCUGUUUGGCUUCCCACGGGUCCCCCUUUUUGUUUGAAUAUUGUUGGUGCUUCUUGGAACACAGCAAGCUGCUCAGUUAAAUGAAGAACUGCCUGGCUUUGUAAAUGCCCAAGGGAAGCACAUUAAAAAGGAACACAAAUAUCCAAAGAUAAACCAAAUGUUGACUUAAUUCAAAUUUUUAAAGUAUAGUACUUCCCAAGAAGUCUGAAAAGAAUUGAGAAAUUCAAUGAGUUUCAGGUGAAAUUGCUCUGCCUCUUCCUGUGACACCAGGCAGUUUUAACAGUUCCUGCUCAUCUACUAAGAGGUGACCUGGACUGACUUAAUCUGACUUUCUGAAAAUGUAUGGGAUGAAGAGCCAGAGGCAGGUGACAUAUAAACUGUUGAUGUGCAGUUAUAUCAUUGGACAAUAGCUAGGUUGUAAGUCAUUGCAAAGCAAAGACUAAAAGAAUGUUCUCUAUCAUCAGAAGACAUAUGAACUAUAGUCAUCAAACUCUAAAAUCUUAUAAAGUAUUAAAGAAGAAAACGAAGCUAAAAAUCUCUCUGAUGAAUUCUUGCAAAUGUAACUCACUUUUCUUCUUCAGCCUCACCCCAACCAGGCAGAGUGGCUGGUGCCUUAUGUGGUGUUAUGAUGGGGACACUUAGCACCAGCGUAUCCUUUUUCCUGCUGACCCAUCAUCAGGUCUGUCCUGUACACAGAGAACUACUCAUUCUACCUAAAUUGUUAUACCUUCAGAAGCCUUCACUGAAAAUAUAAGUAUAUUACUUGAAGAUUACUCACACACGGAUAAGCAUCUUUGAGUUCAUGUGAUUCAGGAGCUGCCAUCUAGCUUAGCAAUGUCUAAAUAACAUGAGCAAUAGGAAGGGAAAUGCCUACAAUAUAUAAGGUGCUUGAUAUCCUCAGCAGAACUCCGUAAAUCAGCAUUAUCAACAGCAGGAGCAGGGCCUCCCAUGCAGUCCAGCUUCACUGCCCUCCCAGCAGGCAGGACACUAAUAAUCAACAAAAAUGUGAUUCUCCCUUGUCUCAGGAUAAAGUGUGCCUUAGUUCUACUCUGUGCUGAGCUGGAAGAACUGAGGGAAAGGCAGAUAAUAAGAAAAGCUCAUGUAACUGCCUCUGCAAAGGCAAGAACAAGGGGUGACUAAUGAGGCAAAUUUUUCCAACCCAAAAUCUCCAGUGGUGGAAAAGGAAGGAAAACGAUUUAUGGGCCAAAAUAAAUCCUAGACCCCAGGAAGCAGUUUGGAUCCUAAUGAAGAAAACUUACCAGUAUCAGUAUCUGAACAGUUCUAAUGUGUUAGGUAACAUAUUGAAAAAAAUCAGGUGGUUACCACGUUAGAACUUCUCAUAUUGGCUAAGUAUGAUACUGAUUUGUUACAUCCCCAAAUAAGUGAGUGUCAAAAUAGGAAAAAUGGGAAUUGUGGAAUAUUAACCACUGAAAGAAAAGUACACAACAAUGCAUUACUAACUUGAUAAUUUCAUUUCCAAGGAUAUAGUUUAACUUUUCCAGAGAGAUUUUCUGUUGGUCUGUUGGGAAAUGUGUAAGUUCAGUCUUCUACAGUUACAAGAACUGUUCUCUCACCAAGGAGGCUUUAAAAUGCUCUCCAAUAAAUAGCCAGACGUUCUUCUGGAAAAACUCCCUGUGAAUUAUUUAUGUCAAUAGUAAUGACCACGAGAAACUAUAUGGAUCAUAACAGUUAAUUUAUUAGUGUUUGAGAUAAUUCUGUAAAAGUAAUCAAUAGUUUUAAGAUGCAACACAGACCCUAUUUAUCUAUCAACCAGAGUGACUUUAUAAAUUAUUUGAGAAUUAUAUUGAAUAACUGGAUAUUAGAAGAUGGACAGUAUUGUCUGUAUUUGAGAUGAAACAACAAACAACCUCUGCUUAGGCAACAUUUUUUUGUGUAUGUAAUUCAAAAUCUGUUAAACCUAUGUAAGAAUUACAGAAGUGGUCAUCAAUUUUCAAACAUAUGAAGAAAAAUAUCCACCUGAGCAUAUCUGUCAAAUAUAUCUGGAGCAAAGAAAACUUCCAAAUCAAGUACACAAAAUAUAUACCAAUUUUUGUCCCAAAUAUUUGAGCAUAUUUUUUACUAGAACCCAUUAAUAAAGAAAUAAUUAUCUGAGUAAUCUUUAAAUACCAUGCCUCUUGUGGUGUAACAACUAUAUCUAUAUACACACACCCAUACACACACACACAUAUAUAUAUAUAAUUCAUGAUUUAUUAAUAUAAAAGAUUAAUAGGUUUUAGGUCUUCCUAACCAGACUUUCUAAAUAGACUUCUGUGUAUAUCAACAUCAAUUCUUACUUUGUUUUGGAUUUCUACACACCUUUCCUUUUAGUCUAAAUAAAUCUGUUGAUAUCAAAAACAUUAUUGUAAUAAAUUAUUUAAAAAAUUAGUUUCUGUGCUACCCAAGAUAUUUGUCUGGUAGUAUGGAAUCGUAGAUCUUUAUAUAUAAUGCUAUUGGUGGUUCCUUAGGAUAUUAUAACCCUGAUUUUGUAAAUAGAUAAAUCUGUAAUGGAAAAACAAGCUCCAUUUUAAAAUCAUUUAAUUAUUUCUGCUAUCCAGUUUGCAUGCUUUAUUCUAUGCAUAUAGAAUACUAGCUACCUAUCAAUUUAUUUGUAUCCACCUAUCUAUAUCAUUUUUUAAAAUUGUUCUUGGUUUAAUUAACACACACAAAACACCAAACAAAAUAUAUGGUUUAUAAAUAUCCCCUAAAUGAAUAUAUAACUGUUGGAAAAGAGAAGUUGCUGAUACUUACAGGAUUUAAAGCUGAAGACUUUUUCCCUCCCUUCUCGUAGUAGCUGAUGGAAUGCUGCUUUCUAAAAACAGCAGCAAUGGCCUGUGCAUAUAGUAAAACAACAAAUUUGAGUGGAUCUAUACUGUUGGAACUCAGCCAAGAAUUAGGAGAACUGCAAAUUGUAGCUCUCCAAAAUCUUACAACUACAGACUAUUUACUGUUAAAAGAACAUAUGGGAUGUGAACAGUCCCCAGGAAUGGACUGUUUUAAUUUGUCUGAUUUCUCUCAGUCUGUUCAAGUUCAGUUGGACAAUAUCCACCAUAUCAAAGAUAAGUUUUCACAAAUGCCUAAGGUGCCUAACUGGUUUUCUUGGUUUCACUGGAGAUGGCUGGUAAUUACAGGUAUGCUUUGGUUACGUAACUGUACUCCUAUUACGUUAAUGUGUGUGUGCAAUUUAAUUAGUAAUUUAAAACCUAUACAUGCUGAAGUUACUCUACAAGAAGAUAUGUCAAAGAAAUAAUCAAUCUUCCCAUAUUUUCUUCUGCCUGCUACUUCUAUAGCUUU